UACGGGGGGGGCAAGCGUUGUUCGGAAUUACUGGGCGUAAAGGGCUCGUAGGCGGCCAACUAAGUCGGAUGUGAAAUCCCCGGGCUUAACCUGGGAACUGCAGUCGGGACUGCCUAGCUAGAGUAUGGGAGAGGGAAGUGGAAUUUCAGGUGUAGCGGUGAAAUGCGUAGAUAUCUGAAGGAACAUCAGUGGCGAAAGCGACUUCCUGGACCAAUACUGACGCUCAUGUGCGAAAGCGUGGGGAGCAAACAGG
rnacentral:rRNA from 1 species